GAUGAACGCUAGCGGCAGGCCUAACACAUGCAAGUCGGGGGGUAACAGAAAAGCUUGCUUUUGCUGACGACCGGCGCACGGGUGCGUAACGCGUAUGCAACCUACCUCAUACUGGAGGAUAGCCCCUGGAAACGGGGAUUAAUACUCCAUAGUAUCACAAUUUCGCAUGUUAUUGUGAUUAAAGUUUUUCGGUAUGAGGUGGGCAUGCGUCCCAUUAGCUUGUUGGUGAGGUAACGGCUCACCAAGGCAACGAUGGGUAGGGGGCCUGAGAGGGUGGUCCCCCACACUGGUACUGAGACACGGACCAGACUCCUACGGGAGGCAGCAGUGAGGAAUAUUGGUCAAUGGAGGAAACUCUGAACCAGCCAUGCCGCGUGAAGGAUGACGGCCCUAUGGGUUGUAAACUUCUUUUAUAGAGGAAGAAACUUGUCUACGUGUAGACGAACUGACGGUACUCUACGAAUAAGGAAUCGGCUAACUCCGUGCCGCG
rnacentral:rRNA from 1 species